rnacentral:rRNA from 1 species
AACCAAAGCUGGCGACCGGCGCACGGGUGAGUAACACGUAUCCAACCUGCUCAUACUCGGGAUAGCCUUUCGAAAGAAAGAUUAAUAUCCGAUAGCAUAUAUUUCCCGCAUGGGUUUUAUAUUAAAGAAAUUCGGUAUGAGAUGGGGAUGCGUUCCAUUAGUUUGUUGGGGGGGUAACGGCCCACCAAGACUACGAUGGAUAGGGGUUCUGAGAGGAAGGUCCCCCACAUUGGAACUGAGACACGGUCCAA